CCCUCACUUGUCCAUCCCCAGCUCCUUCUAGUUUGAUUUUCGCCAUGAAAUGGUAGAAUCCUUCCUUCUCUCUUCAACCGCCGCAUCUGUGUCAGAACGGAACGGCAAUUCCAAAAAGUAGUUAAAUACGUGAGGAAGUCUCCAGAGUUUCUUCAUUGUGGAAUCAGGAAUGUGUUGUUGCUGUUCUGAAAAAUUAGAAUGAAUUCCGCCAAUGUUAGGAUUCAGGGAGAGAGGAUGUACUCUCAUACCCGAAUUGUU
rnacentral:lncRNA from 1 species